rnacentral:tRNA from 1 species
UCCCUGGUGGUCCAGUGGCUAGGUCUCCGCGCUCGCACUGCUGUGGGCCAGGUUUGAUCCCUGGUCUGGGAA